UACGUAGGGGGCAAGCGUUGUCCGGAAUCAUUGGGCGUAAAGCGCGUGUAGGCGGCUGGCUAAGUCCGCUCUGAAAGCCCGGGGCUCAACCCCGGGAGGCGGGUGGAUACUGGUCAGCUCGAGUCUGGAAGAGGAGUGUGGAAUUCCUGGUGUAGCGGUGAAAUGCGCAGAUAUCAGGAGGAACACCAAUGGUGAAGGCAGCACUCUGGGACGGUACUGACGCUGAGACGCGAAAGCGUGGGGAGCAAACAGG
rnacentral:rRNA from 1 species